rnacentral:rRNA from 1 species
UGGGGAAUAUUGCACAAUGGGGGAAACCCUGAUGCAGCGACGCCGCGUGAGUGAAGAAGUAUUUCGGUAUGUAAAGCUCUAUCAGCAGGAAAGAAAAUGACGGUACCUGACUAAGAAGCCCCGGCUAACUACGUGCCAGCAGCCGCGGUAAUACGUAGGUGGCAAGCGUUGUCCGGAUUUACUGGGUGUAAAGGGCGUGUAGCCGGGCAGACAAGUCAGAUGUGAAAUCUGGAGGCUUAACCUCCAAACUGCAUUUGAAACUGCCUGUCUUGAGUGUCGGAGAGGUAAUCGGAAUUCCUAGUGUAGCGGUGAAAUGCGUAGAUAUUAGGAAGAACACCGGUGGCGAAGGCGGAUUACUGGACGAUAACUGACGGUGAGGCGCGAAAGCGUGGGGAGCAAACA